CCUACACUCCUGGGGUCAAUCUAGGUCAGUUCCGAAACUUCCUAACAUUUUCCCAUCCUUUUUCUUUGUAUUAUGUUCAUUUAGCUUUCUCAGGGAUCUAUUUGCUAUUUUUCCCAAUUUUUUGAGAUUUUUGUGGCUUCCAUUUGAUCCGAAAUGUCCUCUGAUAUCUCCUCUUCUAGUAGUUCUAGCAGUUCGUCAGCCCCAGUUCUCCAUAGUACUGGUACCGUAGAUGAACCCGUAACUAGGACCGAACCCUGU
rnacentral:lncRNA from 1 species